rnacentral:rRNA from 1 species
UACGUAGGGGGCAAGCGUUAUCCGGAUUUACUGGGUGUAAAGGGAGCGUAGACGGCACUGCAAGUCUGGAGUGAAAGCCCGAGGCCCAACCACGGGACUGCUCUGGAAACUGCGGGGCUGGAGUGCAGGAGGGGUAAGCGGAAUUCCUAGUGUAGCGGUGAAAUGCGUAGAUAUUAGGAGGAACACCGGUGGCGAAGACGGCUUACUGGACUGUAACUGACGUUGAGGCUCGAAGGCGUGGGGAGCAAACAGG